rnacentral:rRNA from 1 species
AGGUUUUGGGGUUAUAUGGUCAAGUGAAUAAGCGCAUACGGUGGAUGCCUAGGCGGUAGGAGGCGAUGAAGGACGUGUAGCCUGCGAAAAGCCCCGGGGAGCUGGCAAA